AUUCCCUCCGUCGGAACGACGUCACCGGUAAACCCUAUCAAGGGGGAGCAAAUCGGUCUCAGAUGACCGCUAAGAGUGGACAUUCUUGAAAAGGCAUCGUAGAACAAGAUGUCGGCCGAACUUCUGUUGUCAACAAGAAUGCGACGGACGUCGUAGUUUGCUAUGUUCAAGGAGACUACGACCGCAUCGUUAUGAGGGAAUUGGACUCCCUGGGCAUCUUUUUCGAUGAAGGUUAUGGGUUCUUCAACCUUUUGCCGCUUAGGGGAUGCAGCUGGUGCGCUGAUUGCCUCCCGUCGGGAUUCUCCCGAGAUGACGUUGAUGGAAUCCGGCAG
rnacentral:lncRNA from 1 species